GGAAUGAAAGCCAACUGUUUUAUCAAGGUCGUUUUUUUCCAACUGCCUCUGACAGCCUCUGAUCUCUUGAAUGUGCUAUGCCAGGAAGAACCAACUCCAAUAUUCCAAGCGUGCCUCAUCGCAAGAGAAAGGAGAUGUUACAGUUGUUUACAAGACUUUGCUUUAAAGGUCCUCGUGACAGGUCUGUUCUAAAUAAAGCGUCUCUUUUGCUUUUCAAAAUCGUUUGCAUGCACUUUUUCAGGAAUGAGUUUCCAUACGAUGUGCUGCUUGGACACUAGAAGUUAUCUUUGUACAGGAACUCCGAGGCGAUUUGAAGGACACAUGUCCCUGCUGAGCCCUUGCUGCUCAGAGAUAAAAUCCCCACAGGUUAUUUAUGCAUAACAUUGCUUCCUGUUUGCAUCAAACAGUCUCGCUUUGGACACUUCCUGAAACUUUAUUAAAAAUUGACUUUUCGAUGUGGCUCUGAGACUGAUCCUCUCAGGAAUGAGUGGUUAGAUGGUCAUUUAAUUUGAAAAGCCCUCAGAAAUUUACAAAGCUAUAAUUUGAUUCUCUUUGAAUGAAAACAAAAGUGUAACGUGAGCUUCGUUGGAUUCCAUGACUCAAAUUUGGGUUGAAUACAUCCAUGGGUACUUUCUGAACCCAUUCAACUCCCACUAUCCCUUGUAUUAGAACUUAGUGCACUAAACCAUUUCUUUGAAAACUAGGCGAAAAUGUACCCCAUGUGACUCAGUACAUGUUCACUUCACGUCUACUUUCAUUCUUCUUUGUUCACUGGGAAGAAUCACAAAAGAGAUGAGUCAACAGUAAAUGCAGGAGUGUGAAUCUGUGCCCAUUAUCCUCAAGCAUCCAUAGAAACACUUGUAGCUUAGAACUCUUAUCAAAAGGCCUUUUGUUAUUUCAAGGGCAGCGCUAACAUGCACAGUGACUAUAUGUUUUUGAAUGCUUCAAAGAAUCUUUUCUAUUCUCCAGUAAGAAUACAGCUGCCUUAGCAAUUGUAACACCACUUCAUGUAUAAAAUGCUCUCCAAGUGAGUCCACACCAUUAUAUUUAUGUCAAAAUGGUCAACCUUUACAGUAGUACUUUGUAUCAGAGUGAUUACACGUGGCUCUAGAAAGUGAAUUCUUGUUACUUUGUCUUACUGCCAUAAAAAGAACACAGUUCAAUAAAUAGUCCAGUAGGUUUAAGGACAAGUUACAUUGUUAAACUCUUUUGAGGGUGUAGAAAUGAUGGAGGCUGGAAAAUGAAUUGUGAAGGCCUUACCCAUGCCUGAGCACAGGGGGGUGGGGUGCUCUUCCGGAAAAUGCUGAAGGACAGAGUGGGAGAAAAUUGAAGAAAAAGACACAAUUGGGGAGAAUUUAAUAAGCAGGAGUGAGCUAUAAAUAAAAGUGGUGUUAAUCCUUGCUUUUCGCAGCUCUGCUCUGCCUUGAAGCCCUGGCCUCACCAACUGGUGUGGUCUGGAAAAGUCUUGUCCUUUGAAGUCACUUACUGAGUAGGCUGGGGUACAUUUCUUCAGAGUACAUAGUUAAUUCUGGCUCUGAGCUCCGCUCGGAGCUCCUGAGCCCUUGUUAGGGUCUAGUCUCUUUUCCGAGGGUAUGAUCAUGUUCCCCAAAUUCUCAGUUAUAGUCUGGGCUCCAUAACCAAUGGGGCAGCCUCCUGGAACUCCCAUGUUUCUUCCUGCUUGGUUUCUGAAUGUGCUUCUGGCAAGAGACUUUCCUCCUGUGGCCCAACUGCCAGGCCCAGGGCCCCUCGGGAAUUGGCACUGGCAUAUCAUCCAUAGGUUGUCAACUUUCUUGGGCACAGAUGUGGAUGGUAGGCUUACCAUGCUAGCAGUAGGGCCAGUCUAGCUACUUCAUUUGUCCUUUAGCUAUCAUCCCACUUUGAGUUCUCUUUUCACUCCUUAACCAGCCGUGAAGAAGCGUCCUUCAAAUUAUCCUCACUUCUAUAGGGAAUUAUGCCGGAGUUAGGGUUGCCUUUUUGCCUUUCAGAGUUCCACCAUACAUUUGACAAAUGGUUUCUAUAUAUCCCUACUCUCCCAUUGCUUUUGAUCCAAGGCCUCAUUAUAUGGAAAAAAAUGGAAGGCUGAUGUCCAUCAGGUUCAUAGUCCUUAUGUACCCAUCUUCCAAAGGAAUCUGGCCUCAGAGAACUAUCAAGCUUACUGACAUCUUAAAACACCAUAUGGAAGAUACUAUCUCUCAGAGUUAGUGUUUGUCCUGCCUGCUAUUGCAUAUACGAUGAAUCAGUGAAUAGGACAUAACACUAUUCUAGGGACAGAAGACACAGGUUUGUGUACAAGGGAUGUAAGUUGAAGUGGUUCCUUACAUGAAAUUCCUAAUGAUAUACCACCUACACCUAGAUUUCAUCUAAUCUCUGUAACUCUGGGCUCACUUGACUUAGAGAUUUCAGAUCCUAGGAGACGUAUGUGUCUAUCAGAAACACAAGAGUAUUUCCACCAAAUUGAAAACUGAGACUAUCACCUGCCU